UACAUGGGGUGCAAACGUUGCUCGGAAUUAUUGGGCGUAAAGCGCACGUAGGCGGUUCGUUAAGUCGGAUGUGAAAGCCCUCGGCUCAACUGAGGAAGUGCACCCGAAAACUGGCGAGCUUGAGUACGAAAGAGGAUCGCGGAAAUUCCCGGUGUAGAGGUGAAAUUCGUAGAUAGUCGGGGAGGAACGACCGGUGGCGAAGGCG
rnacentral:rRNA from 1 species